CCCUACGGGACGCAGCAGUGGGGAAUAUUGCACAAUGGGGGAAACCCUGAUGCAGCGACGCCGCGUGAGUGAGGAAGUAUUUCGGUAUGUAAAGCUCUAUCAGCAGGGAAGAAAAUGACGGUACCUGACUAAGAAGCCCCGGCUAACUACGUGCCAGCAGCCGCGGUAAUACGUAGGGGGCAAGCGUUAUCCGGAUUUACUGGGUGUAAAGGGAGCGCAGGCGGUGCGGCAAGUCUGAUGUGAAAGCCCGGGGCUCAACCCCGGGACUGCAUUGGAAACUACCGAACUAGAGUGUCGGAGAGGUA
rnacentral:rRNA from 1 species